UGGCGACAUGAUCAGUGUGGGCCGGCUUCUUAGAGUAUCUUUUCGAGCUCGACAAAACAGGAACAGAAGGAAUUAUAAUAAAUAAGGAUUCUCAAAUAUACCAAGAACCACGUCACAAUUAGUAGAAUGUUGACGAAGGAAUUUGCUGUGAUUAAAUUUGUGGAUAAAGGAUUUGAGGUUAUUUGAACGAAAUGGACGAUUUUUAAUGAGUUGGAUACAUGGACUGAUGAAAACGGAAAACCAGGGCCGGUUAAAACCGUUUGUUGCUAUGCCCAAACCUUUAGAGAAUCCAGACAAAAACUAUAGUACUACAUAAAACUGUCAGACGUUGAUUCUGACGACGCAAUAAAUAUGGAUAAUUUAAAAAUAUCCAGACACUUGCGCUGUGCAAAAAAGUUCUCUGAGGAUGACUCUGAAAUGAAGGUGAAGCGAGCACCCGCGUUUAAAGUAAAGAAAAGCUUCUUGCCAGCACCUUCUACCGUUUCCAAUUUCGGAGAUAAAUGUAUUCCAGAAGGUGGUUUCCUUAGAAAACCACAGAAAACAACAGUAUGCAGUCAUAAGGUUGCAAAAUCAAGAUUUCUUUGAUGUCAUUCGCACACAUUGGGCGGUUUUUAACGACUCCGUUAAAAUAGUUUUCACCUUGUUUCCUGAUUUGGAUUCGGGAAAAGAGUUAGAUAAAGUUUUAAUAACAGGUGAGAAACCAGAUGCAACAUGGGCGGAUGAAAAUGGCGAGCCAUGGAUAGUUUAAACUUUUGUUGACAAUGCAGAGGCAAUGUAUUCAAAGAUGUCAUCGGUGAAAAAUCGUUCAAAGGUUUCAGUUGGAGUGUCACCCAAAUCCAAAUCAGCUGGCGCAGUGGUAGGGAAAAAGCGGUUUCUUCGCGGUUCAAAAUCACCUUCAAUGAUUAAAGGGGUCGGUUUCCCCUCCUUCAGUCUUUUUUGUAUCCAAUCGUCCACAGAAUUAGUGGAGGGAUUGGAAGUAGUAGGAACAUUGUUACCUUGACUAGAUACAUUCCGAUCGAGAGGUUCCGAGGGAUGCGUGGAAUCGAUAACGUCCUGUAGAUCAAGCUGGGUGCGAACAUCAUUACUGAAAACUACUUCCGCUUGGGCUAGAAGCUGUCUUCCCGAAAGGUGGCGGAUCUCCCCAUCUUCAUCUUCGUCCUCGGAUUCCUCAUCAGUUAGAACUGCAGGAGCAGGAGGUUCCAUGAAAACCAUCUCAGGUUGUUGUUCAGCAGCAUCGUUCUCCUGGAGGAGUUCUACAGCUUCCUGGACUGUGAGACCGGGCCUGACAAAACCAGUACCACAUAAGUCCCAGGGAUGCCGUAUGGCACAUGUGCCAAUAUUGAUCGCAUACAGACAUGAAUUAUGGAUAAAAACAUUACUAAACAUGAUUUUCAUUGCUCAAACAUGUCAGCUAACUAGUGAAAUACCGAUAAUAAAAAAAGAAUACUGAAAAAUAUAAUACUUACGUCAGCAAAGCUUGUAGAACGUCAAUGUCAAAAAAGGAGUCCAUAAUUGGUGGAAUCUACAACUGCUGGAAAAAGAAUGAGAGGCCGGCUUCCUCCUCCCCAACGUUGCUAAGUACCUCAGGAACAUGAAAGGACGUGCACAAACUUGAACUCGCGUGCAUAGAGUUCCCAAGAAAUUCAUGAACAGACCUGCCGACGCUGUUGCCGUUCGGCAUCACUGGGACAUAAUGGGUCAAGUAGACUAAGAUGCGUUUGCGUUCUAAUGCUCUCUCUCUCUCUCUCUCGCUUGCACUCUCGCUUUUGUUCGAUCACUCACUCGUUUACUAAUAAGUCCUACAUUGCGCUAUCACAAGAAAUAGAAAUAAGAAACU